GGAGAGUUGGCAGAGCGGUCAAAUGCGUCGGUUUUGAAAACCGAAGUGGAUUUUCCACCGGGGGUUCGAAUCCCUCACUCUCCG
rnacentral:tRNA from 1 species